rnacentral:rRNA from 1 species
GUGAGGAAUAUUGGUCAAUGGGCGAGAGCCUGAACCAGCCAAGUCGCGUGAAGGAAGAAGGAUCUAUGGUUCGUAAACUUCUUUUGCAGGGGAAUAAAGUGCAGGACGUGUCCUGUUUUGUAUGUACCCUGAGAAUUAGGAUCGGCUAACUCCGUGCCAGCAGCCGCGGUAAUACGGAGGAUCCGAGCGUUAUCCGGAUUUAUUGGGUUUAAAGGGUGCGUAGGUGGUUUGAUAAGUCAGCGGUGAAAGUUUGCAGCUUAACUGUAAAAAUGCCGUUGAAACUGUCGGACUUGAGUGUAAAUGAGGUAGGCGGAAUGCGUGGUGUAGCGGUGAAAUGCAUAGAUAUCACGCAGAACUCCGAUUGCGAAGGCAGCUUACUAAGCUACAACUGACACUGAAGCACGAAAGCGUGGGGAUCAAACAGGAUUAGAAACCCUGGUAGUCC